AGUCUGCAACCCGACUACAUGAAGCUGGAAUCGCUAGUAAUCGCGGAUCAGAAUGCCGCGGUGAAUACGUUCCCGGGUCUUGUACACACCGCCCGUCACACCAUGGGAGUCGGAAAUGCCCGAAGUCGGUGACCUAACUGAAAGGAAGGAGCCGCCGAAGGCAGGUCUGGUGACUGGGGUGAAGUCGUAACAAGGUAUC
rnacentral:rRNA from 1 species